GCUAGGCUAGAGGAAGUGGCAAGAACAUACUGCUGAGCUGCUGGACAGACAGACGGGGAUGGUUCCCUCUUCAGUGGUCGCUGUACUGUAAAACUGUGCUCCUAGUUGGUGCAUGUGAUAUGUCAAAAGAUUCAGUGUCAAGGAUCAUACUUGAAUGGGCUACACUCACUCUACAGCAGGAAUUUCAAAAUGAUCGAACAGACCACAGCAGAAUGGAGAAAUACAACUUUUGCUGAUGAAUCCUCUGGCCUGUAAUGAUGUCAUCCCAGAAAGUGAGAUUCAAGCUUACGGAAAGGAGUUAGAGACUUGCAAAAUAAUAAUU